GCAAAUGGUCCUGCAUAUUUUUUUCAGUCAGAGCCAGACAAGGGGAAAGAGGAGAGGAGUGCUGUUGAAAUCUGAUUUGCAGAAAAGGCAAGUGGUGCAGUGACAGCAAAAUAAAUUCAAUUCACAGACUCCUGUUAUCUUUGGGAUCUUUGGAUCAGUUCUUACACCCUCCCAGUCUCAUUCAUCACUUCUGAGGAUGAAGUCCUAAAUACCUGCCGUGGUCGAAACUGUUCUGACAUCAUCUUCUGAAUGCGGUGACUUCAAGCACAUGAAAUCAUGAGGUUAAUGCCAUAGUCAAGACUUCAACCAAAGCUCUUUCUGCAAACCUGAGCUGAUUUUUUUGAAAAUGCCAUGGUAGUUGCUAGUGCUUAACCAACAGAAGAAUUACCAAA